UGUGGGAGCGGGCUUGCUCGCGAAGGCGGUGGGUCAGUUACAGAAUAUGUUUCUGAUACACCGCUUUCGCGAGCAAGCCCGCUCCCACA
rnacentral:misc_RNA from 2 species